AUUGAACGCUGGCGGCAUGCCUAACACAUGCAAGUCGAACGAGUGGCGGACGGGUGGGCAAUGUCUGGGAAACUGCCUGAUGGAGGGGGAUAACUACUGGAAACGGUAGCUAAUACCGCAUACCAUGGGAUGGGCCGAGAUGGGAUUAGCUAGUAGGUGGGGUAAAGGCUCACCUAGGCGACGAUCCCUAGCUGGUCUGAGAGGAUGACCAGCCACACUGGAAAUGAGACACGGUCCAGACUCCUACGGGAGGCAGCAGUGGGGAAUAUUGCACAAUGGGCGCAAGCCUGAUCCAGCCAUGCCGCGUGUGUGAAGAAGGCCUUCGGGUUGUAAAGCACUUUCAGCGGGGAGGCGUUACCCGCAGAAGAAGCACCGGCUAACUCCGUGCCAGCAGCCGCGGUAAUAC
rnacentral:rRNA from 1 species